UACGAAGGGGGCUAGCGUUGUUCGGAAUUACUGGGCGUAAAGCGCACGUAGGCGGAUAUUUAAGUCAGGGGUGAAAUCCCGGGGCUCAACCCCGGAACUGCCUUUGAUACUGGGUAUCUUGAGUUCGGAAGAGGUGAGUGGAAUUGCGAGUGUAGAGGUGAAAUUCGUAGAUAUUCGCAGGAACACCAGUGGCGAAGGCGGCUCACUGGUCCGAUACUGACGCUGAGGUGCGAAAGCGUGGGGAGCAAACAGG
rnacentral:rRNA from 1 species